rnacentral:rRNA from 1 species
CAAUGGGCGAAAGCCUGACGGAGCAAUACCGCGUGAGGGAGGAAGGCUCUUGGGUCGUAAACCUCUUUUCUCAGGGAAGAAGAAAGUGACGGUACCUGAGGAAUAAGCAUCGGCUAACUCCGUGCCAGCAGCCGCGGUAAUACGGAGGAUGCAAGCGUUAUCCGGAAUGAUUGGGCGUAAAGGGUCCGCAGGUGGCUAUGUAAGUCUGCUGUUAAAGAGUUUGGCUCAACCAGAUAAGAGCAGUGGAAACUACAUAGCUAGAGUGCGUUCGGGGCAGAGGGAAUUCCUGGUGUAGCGGUGAAAUGCGUAGAUAUCAGGAAGAACACCGGUGGCGAAAGCGCUCUGCUAGGCCGCAACUGACACUGAGGGACGAAAGCUAGGGGAGCGAAUGGGAUUAGAUACCCCAGUAGUCCUAGCCGUAAACGAUGGAUACUAGGCGUGGCUUGUAUCGACCCGAGCCGUGCCGUAGCUAACGCGUUAAGUAUCCCGCCUGGGGAGUACGCAGGCAACUGUGAAACUCAAAGGAAUUGACGGGGGCCCGCACAAGCGGUGGAGUAUGUGGUUUAAUUCGAUGCAACGCGAAGAACCUUACCAAGACUUGACAUGUCGUGAAUCUCUUUGAAAGGAGAGAGUGCCUUCGGGAGCGCGAACACAGGUGGUGCAUGGCUGUCGUCAGCUCGUGUCGUGAGAUGUUGGGUUAAGUCCCGCAACGAGCGCAACCCUCGUUUUUAGUUGCCAGCAUUAAGUUGGGCACUCUAGAGAGACUGCCGGUGACAAACCGGAGGAAGGUGAGGAUGACGUCAAGUCAGCAUGCCCCUUACGUCUUGGGCUACACACGUACUACAAUGCUACGGACAAAGGGCAGCUACACAGCGAUGUGAUGCUAAUCUCAUAAACCGUAGCUCAGUUCAGAUCGCAGGCUGCAACUCGCCUGCGUGAAGGAGGAAUCGCUAGUAAUUGCAGGUCAGCAUACUGCAGUGAAUUCGUUCCCGGGCCUUGUACACACCGCCCGUCACACCAUGGAAGUUGGUCACGCCCGAAGUCAUUACCCCAACC